rnacentral:rRNA from 1 species
CCUACGGGGGGCAGCAGUGGGGGAUAUUGCACAAUGGGGGGAACCCUGAUGCAGCGACGCCGCGUGGGUGAAGAAGCGCCUCGGCGCGUAAAGCCCUGUCAGCAGGGAAGAAAAUGACGGUACCUGAAGAAGAAGCCCCGGCUAACUACGUGCCAGCAGCCGCGGUAAUACGUAGGGGGCAAGCGUUAUCCGGAUUUACUGGGUGUAAAGGGGGCGCAGACGGCGAUGCAAGCCAGGAGUGAAAGCCCGGGGCCCAACCCCGGGACUGCUCUUGGAACUGCGUGGCUGGAGUGCAGGAGGGGCAGGCGGAAUUCCAGGUGUAGCGGUGGAAUGCGUAGAUAUCAGGAGGAACACCGGUGGCGAAGGCGGCCUGCUGGACUGCAACUGACGUUGAGGCCCGAAAGCGUGGGGAGCAAACAGGAUUAGAUACCCCGGUAGUC